rnacentral:misc_RNA from 1 species
UCUCCGUAGGUGAACCUGCGGAGGGAUCAUUACCGAGCUCAUGCCCUUACGGGUAGAUCUCCCACCCUGUGUUAUUAUUACCUUUGUUGCUUUGGCGGGCCGCCAGGCUCCGGUCAGGCUAUCGGCUUCGGCUGGUAAGCGCCCGCCAGAGGACCCUAUAUCCUGAUUAUUAGUGUCGUCUGAGUACUAUAUAAUAGUUAAAACUUUCAACAACGGAUCUCUUGGUUCUG